rnacentral:rRNA from 1 species
CCUACGGGUGACAGCAGUGAGGAAUAUUGGUCAAUGGGCGGAAGCCUGAACCAGCCAAGUCGCGUGAGGGAUUAAGGCCCUGCGGGUCGUAAACCUCUUUUGCCGGGGAGCAGAGGUCCGGACGUGUCCGGGCCGGGAGGGUACCCGGAGAAAAAGCAUCGGCUAACUCCGUGCCAGCAGCCGGGGUAAUACGGAGGAUGCGGGGUUUACCGGGAUUUAUGGGGUUAAAGGGGUGCGUAGGCGGGAAUUUAGGCAGGCGGUAAAAUGUCGGGGCUAAACCCCGGCCUGCCGUCGGAACUGGGUGCCUUGAGUGGGCGAGAAGUAUGCGGAAUGCGUGGUGUAGCGGUGAAAUGCAUAGAUAUCACGCAGAACCCCGAUUGCGAAGGCAGCAUAC